GUUGAAAUUUUUUACCAAAAAGUUAUUUUUGGUACAAAAUUUUAGAUUAAAAUAGGCCAAAGCUCUGCUAAUACCAAUGCAACAGGUCUGGAGCACAGGCUUAAGGCUUCUAACUUUUGAAGCUCGAGUUCGCCCUAGCCGCUAGAGAGAGAAAAAUAUUUUUUUUUAGCCUCUCCGGUGUCCGCCGUUUGUCGUCGGCACUGAGAGAGGAUGCUUUGUUGGUGUCUUUUGUUUUCUGUCUUCUUGUUCAGGGCUUAAUGCGAUCUGUUUGGCCUUCUGGAGGAAAAGGAUGAGAUUUCAUCAAGGAAUUUGUGCAUCUGGAAGAUUUGUUCUUCUGGUUCUGCGAUGUGGGUGUGAUGACCUCCUUGGUGUGCUGUCUUCCUUCGCAUUGGUGCUGUGUUUUCUUGGCCACAUCUGGUGUUUUUAUCCUUCGGAUUCAUUAGGCUAUGGUUAAGAUCCAGAUCUUGGUCGUGCUUGGGUCUCGGAGAAGCAAUUAGCGCCGGUCGGUAUCCGACGACGAAGUGAUUUGUUCGCAAACGCUGGUGUUUCUUCGAGAUUUGAGUCGUGUUGGUUGAUUGUUUUUUUUUUUUUUUGCGUAGUUUUAAUCCCUGCAUGCGGAUUCUGAAACCCAGUCUUGGGUUAUAGCAGUUUCUGAGUGGAUUGUGUGGAUCUGUGUUCUUGUGGCUUCAGUAAAUUGGGAGUAGCUUCAGUAGAUUGGGAGCAAUUUGAUGGAACUUUAGAUCUUUAUUCCUUAUGCUUAUUAAUGCAAAGGGGUUUGAUUCUAUCAAAUUCGGAAUCGAUUGUUGUGAUUCUUAUUAGCGAUUUAUUGAAUAUCUGUCAUAUUUUUUUUUUAA